rnacentral:snRNA from 14 species
AGCUUUGUGCUAGUGGCAGUAUCUAGCCAGUGAGGCUUGUUUGAGGCACGAUUAUUGCUAGUUGAAAACUGUGUAGCCCUCACUCUCUCCCAGUCUGUCACCCUCUCCCAUGGCUGUUACCACCUGGUCACUGUGGCUGGGUAACACUUCGUCCUGGAG